GCUGCGAUGGCCGAGUGGUUAAGGCGUUGUGCUCGAAAAUAAUGGGAUAUUCCCGCGCAGGUUCGAAUCCUGUUCGCAGCG
rnacentral:tRNA from 1 species